CUGACCUGAGAGAGAGCGACUCAGCUGAGUAUCACUUCAAGUUCAAGACACCAAACUUUGAGUGGAGGAGUAGUUUACCUGGUACAACUCUGACUGUCACAGAUCAAGAUCUGCAGGUGCAGGUGAUCUGGUCUUCGACUGGUCCAAAGCUGAUUUGUCACAGCAGCUGUCUUACUGACCGCUCUUCCUUCCUUUGGUACAAGAAUGGAACAAUGAUUCAGGGAGAAACAUCUCCUUCUUACGGAGGUCACGUUGAUCCUGCAGACAGCUAUUCCUGUUCUUACCAGAGAUACCGCUCUACUCCAGUGUAUGCUCCGAAACCUUUCUCUGUGUCGAGGACUCUCCCUGGUGACAUUAUGAAGAAUGAUUCAGUGAAUCUGACCUGUAGCAGUGAUGCUAACCCAGAAGCUAAAUACACCUGGUACAAGGGG